rnacentral:lncRNA from 1 species
CAUUCAUGGACCCACCACAAUAACUAAUAAACAAUCUACUUACUUCUUUAAUUAAAUCUUAAUCUAUUUUCUUAAUUAAAACUCUUCCCCAAACGCAACACAUCUUCACUUUCUUUCAUUUCUUUGAACCCUAAUUUUCUCUCACACUUGCGCCGCCUCUCACCGGCGAAGGUGACGCCUUUCUCCGGCGAGUUUGCCCCUCCUUAUGGCCUGAGUCGGUGACCAUUGAUGGCCUAAGUAGGUGGCGCAAGGGAACGCUACGGUGGCAGCGGGAUUUUAGAGAGGGGCGCGACAUCGUGCAGCGCGGCGCCGCUUCUUUUCCCCGGCGAGGAACGUCGCCGCCGACUGCCGACUGCCUCUCUCGGCACCUUGCGAAACAUCCCCCUCGCUCUCGUCACCUCCCUCUGUGCGAUUGUUGGGA